rnacentral:lncRNA from 1 species
AGUAGGGGUGGGCUAGGGCAGUGGCCUCUGGGUCUCAUGGCGCAGCACUCGGUUUUGGGAGCCCAGUCCUGGAGCAGCCUGUGCCCUGACACCCCCUCCUGCAACCCCCUUCGACCUGGCCAGAGGGGGUGGACAGGGGCAGGAGGGAGCCAUCCUGCUGCAGCCUCCUUCUCCCCCAGCCCCCUCCUCAUGACUUUAUUUCAUUUCCCCUUAAGUAUCAGGAGGAACGUUAAUGACACCAUAAAACCCAGAGCUCCAUAAAAGCCAUUUCUGCAGAUUUACAGCCGUUUUGGCUCAUUGGAGGGCAGGGGCCUGGGCUCCGCCCGCCUCAUCCCUGCGGUCUCUGAUUUACUGUGAGUUCCAGAGUUCCCGGGUUUGACAGGCUGGCUCUCUAAAUCACAGUGGCUUUUUAUAGGGUGUGUAAUUAACCCAUUAAUUCCCUGGGUGGCAGGGACAGCCAUGGAUCCCUGGCCCUCUCCCUCCCCUCCCCCAGCUCCCUGACCCCCAGGGUCUGUCAGCCAGGCAGCUGCGCCUUCUGCCUCUUACCAGGCCAGGCCAUAAUGUCUUCCAGCCUUUGAUCUGAGGGGUGCACCCUUCGGGGCAGUGGUCCCAAGUGCCACCAGAGGGAUGUCGUCCUGGGAGAGACUCUGCCCUCCUUGGGCAGCCUUGGUGCUCUCAUCUGUGGUCACAGUCAUGGUUGGUGGCCCUCUGCUGCUCCUUCCUCCCAUGGGCCUGGGCAGCCCUGACAUGCCAGCUGCUCCUGGAGUUGACCGAGUUGACAGAGCAGAAUUCAGGCCAGGCUAGGCCAGCGCCGGACUCCAGCAGGCCUGUGCUGUGGGAGGCAGCUGGUAACAUGCUGCAUGGUGCAGGUCAGGACUGGGGAAGGCUGGGACAGUGAUGGGGAGAGGGGGCCAGAAUGCCCACCAGCACGCACUGGUCCCACGAGGCUGCGACUCUUGCUGUGUCUGAGAUGCCCAGGCCAGCUGGGGUCUGUCUCCCUGCCCCGGGCCUCCUUGCCAGAGCCACUGGGCGGCCCUUCUGCUUCCAAAUCAGCAUGUGUCAUUCGUGGUCUUCUCCCCAAAAUGCUGUUUCGAAUGUUUCCUGGAGAAGAACCUGUAAUUAACAUGCCAGCUGCUUGCAGCUUAACCCCCCACUGCCGCUGCACAGGAGUGACAGAUGGUGGUGGGCAGGGGCCCCGCCUGCUGCUCAGCUAUGGGGGGCUCCUGAACCGUGUCUGCAGGCAGCCUGUGUGUGUGCACCAGGCCCUGGUGCGAGCAGGUGUGUCUGCUGGUCCCUGACAUGUGCCGGCCGGCACUUCAGGGCACACAGGGUCAACCAACCCUGGUGGCCCUCUUGUCUAGUUGACAUGGUGGCAAGUGGGGCUGCCCCUGUGGCUGGAGGAGUGGGAAUGAGUCCAGAGGACGCUUGCCAGCAGACAGGCUUGCGGCUAGGGGCAGCUCAGGGCGGCUGCCAUCCUGCCUCUGACUUGACGGUAGAGCCCUCAGACAGCUCGGGUGUUUGUGGCUUUCAGUGAAAGGGGAAUGUGUGUACCCCUGAGUGUUGACAUGUGUCUGUCACAUGCCUGUGUCCGAGAGGUGGUGUCCCUGUGCGGCCAUGGCGGGGCUGCGCGCCUGCAUGGGAAGCAUUACAUGUUUCUUCCGGGUACCUCUGUAGGUGUGUGACGGUGAUUCUGCCGUGGGUAUCUUGAUGUGACCUGUGGCUACAUGGCUUUGUGUGUAGGUGUCAGCCUGUGUGCCCCUUGCCGCCUGUGCAUGUCUGCGCUUGGGUCCUCAGGCCCAGCAGGGGUUAUGCUUAUCCUUGCUUCUCCCAACAGCGUCCCUGCACUUGCUCAGCGACAUGAGGCGUUUGUCAUCUGACCUGGUUUAUAGGCGUACUUGAAGGGGUUUAAUUUGCUGAGAUUUAUCCCCAGCAAAUCCCCAAUUAUUGCUCAUCCUCAAAAGCGUCUGUCCCGAAAGCUUGGUGCAGCCUCCCCAGCCCGCCAUCAGAUGUUCGUUAGCGCAAGAAAAUUAGUUAGAAAGUAAUUUUCUUAAUUUGGCUGCUUGCAACCAAGGACAUGAGGAUUCAUCUCCUGCCGAAGCAGGGGACUCGGGAGUUUUCUUUAUUAAAGAGAAAUGAGAAUGGAGACGCCUGCCGAGGCGGGGAGCCGGCCCUGCCCCCACCCCACGUGUGCUGAGUGGCUGCCUGGGGACAGGAGCAGAGGACACAGAGCAGCAGCAGUGAUGCCGGCCGUGACACCAAAGCAGUUCUCAGGGGACCGGCCUGCGAUGACCUGGGCAGGGGUCCUCACAGCUGUCCCCAAGGUGGUCAUUGCCACCAUGGUGAUGGCUGCCCACCCUCUGGAUGAGGACACUGAAGCCCUUGGACCUGAGAGCCUGCCACAGGCGCCCUCCAUCAGGAGGGGCCUCUGCUCAGGGAUGUACUCCUAGCCAAGCCCCAGGCGGGAAGGCUGGCCCUGCUCCUGACAUGCCCCUUUGUCCCUGCCAACCUCUUCCACCCAGCACCACCCUCCACAGGCUCCUCAGCACCCACCUGACCCCUCCCCAGCCCUCGGCAACAGCGCCCACUUGGCUGUAGGCCUCAGAGCACCUCUGAGCCCACCCCCUCUCAAUUGCUGGGAUGGGUCUCAGCUGAGCCCCCACCCUCUCCUUGGCUUAGGCACAUCCAAAUGCAUCUCUUCUUUCCUCCCUUCGUCAAACCUGGAUUGAGCAUCUGCCCUGCUGUGGUCAGCCCUGCUGGAGAGGAGGCAAAGCCAGCAUCCCUGCCUCUGUCCCUGUGCCCAGGGCCUCUGGGUCUGGGAGAGAAGGUGCUGAGUAAAACAAACAAGUAGCGUCCUCCGUGGAGGUGGCGAGUGCUGCUGAGAAAGAGGCGGGCUUAGGGGGACGCUGGUGUAAAUGGUGGGGCCAGAGACCUCACCCAGACAUGGCGGGGGUGGGGGGUAGCCCUGCAGAGGCCCUGAGGUGGGAGGGAGCCACCACAUGCGUGAGGAACCAGAGGUGAGGCUGUAACUCUGCACAGCAGAGCAGCGAGCAGCGCCUCAGAGGCCUAGGGCUGUGUGAGAGGCGGCCUCCAGCCCAGUUGCCCAGAGUUUACCCCACCUGCCAAACCUGCCAGGGCAGACACACACACACACACACAGACACACACACACACACACAAACACACACACACACACACACACACACACACUCACAUACAUACCACGUAAUUAUAUGAUUGGCUUCAUUGCACUCAUACACACACACACAAACACACACACACACACACACACACACACACACACACAUUGCAUAAUUAGCUGAUUGGCUUCAUUGCCUUCAGGGGAUUUCUGGAAAUGAAUUCUAAGUUGUUGGUUGGGCCGCAGACAGCUAAUUUCCCAGCUAGACUGCUAAUCUCCUGGGUCUCCAGGGCCUCCACACCUCAGGCUCCUGGCCCAAGUGGGUGCCGUCAGACAUGGCUGAGCCCAGCUGGUGCCCUGCCACAGGACCGUGGAGGGAGGCUGCUGCGGCCUGGGCGUGCCCCUGGCCAGUCCCUUCACCUGAGAGCCCAGGCAGUGGGGCAGAGCUAAAACUAGCAGCUGGCAGGGCCCAGGCAGAGCUGACAACAAGGGGUGGACUUUCCCCUCAGUUGCUGAGGAAGUCUGAGGGGGCAGGGUGGGGUUCGAGGCUCCUUGUGGAACUACCUUGACAUCUGGGGGGGUCACAGAGGUCUCCUUUACUCCCCUGUCUGGAGCUUGAUGCCAGCUCAUGGUUGGUGGCCUCAGCUCCCCCAACGUGGGCAUCCCCAUUGUGGGCUGGUUGGGCUUCCUCACAGCAUGGUGGCGGGUUUUCAGGGUCCUGAGAGCAAGUCAGGAGGACGCGGUAGCAGUGAUGUGGCUGAGGCUCCAGGUUGUGUGGCAUGGCUUCCUGAUCCUCUAUUGUCAUGAGCCCCCGAAGUUCACAGGGAGGGGCUAUGGACCCCCCACCCCAUGUCUGUGAGAGUCAGCACUUUGUGAGAGGGACACGGGCAACUGGGCAGCCCCAGGAAACACACGCCACUGCACAGAGGCCUGCCCCAAAAGGCUUCUCAGAUGGGCAUAGCAGCUUCUGCUGAGACACAAGCAUGCCCACGCGUGUGACCGCUAAUAUCACCCCACAAACAUCUGCCAGGCACCUGCCGUGGGCCAGGCCCUGUCUGGCACAGUGAUGGGCCAGGCCAGCCGAGCUCUAGCCAAAGCUCUGGGCAGUAGCCCGUUGGCCCCAGCAGCUAUUUGGCAUACCUAGAGGCUGAAGGCCAUGCAGCCGUGUGUGCUGACACGCGUGUGCCUCCCGCCACCCCUUUCUCCUGGAAGUGGUCCUUGUGGCUCCUGGCUCCACUGUCACCCACUCUGGCAGAAGGGGCACAACCCUGCCUUCUGGGAGCUCUAGGUCUGGGGCUCAGGAGGGCAGAGCAGGUGACCCCCUGUGGUGGGGUACAGAGCGCAGGGUAUCUGGGUGGUCGCAUGCAGGUCACCUGCCAGCUUUGCCCCCAGGAGCUGGGGACAGUGGAGGUUAAAGAUGAGGUGCAGCACAUGGUGGGGGACUCAGCUUUAGUGAAGCAUGGGAGGACUGACAGGUGCCGGGGGUGCCCUGAGCCGUCCUGAGACCUGCCUGCCACCCACACACCCCCAUUAGCAGCUCAGUGCCCAUAGCCCCUGAACCACAGAGCUGUCCACUUGCUCCAGGCCUCUGCUAAGCCACCCUGUGCAGCCCUGUGGCACAAACUCUGUCUUUAUGAGGCAGGUUUAUGACAUCCAUUACCCUGCUCCUUGGGCCACUUCCGAGCAGCUAUAAUUUGUACAAAAGCAAUAAAACCCGGCCAGCCUCUCCCUGGAGUCGGGAGCUGCAUUCUCCUCCCGCCUUGGAGCACAGGGAACUUAAGCCGGAGGCUGGGAGGUGGCCGCUGCUCAGAGGUCGGCAGGGCUGGCGGGUGACCAUCCCUGCCUGACCUGCUUCUCGUCAGAGGAUCCACCACCCACUCACCUACUCUGUUCAUCCAUUUUUCUGUCCACCCGUUCUUCACCAAGCCCGUCUCUCAGGGGCUCUGGGGGUGCAGCCGUGGCCCACAUUUGAGAAGUUGGAGGACAUAGAAAUCCUUUCCUUGGGGCUGGUACAGAGCCUGUGUCCCCCUGCCCCUGUCAUCCAUCCAAUUCCUCUCCUGGCAGAGCAGGGGUGGGGGGUGGGUGCCGCUCCCUCAGGCUGGUUGUCAGGUAUUUUGAACGUGGCAUGAAGAUUGGUCCGAGGUUGUUAUUCCCAAGGAAGUGGUCCCUGAUGUGGAGAUCAACAUGGGGGUGGGGUGGGGGUGUUGGUUUACCUUUGGGAGGAGGGACAGGAGGGGACAGUGCCCAGGACAGCCAAACCUUCCUUCAUCAUCACUGUUCUGAAUCAGUGGAUGUGGCACUAGAAGGGUCAUGGCCUUGGGGGCCUCCACUCCUGAGCUUCCUGUGGCAGGCGUUGAGGGAGUUGGGGGGACAGGGACGAGCACUUCUGGCAGCAGCUUCUUAAAGCCUAAAUGGUGCAGGAGGAGGGUGCUGGGUAUAGAGGGAGCUUUGGGCAUUGAAGAGUUAGCCCUUGGAAUUCCCAUUGUGACCCAGGGGUAAUGAACCCAACUAGUAUCCAUAAGGAUGUGGGUUUGAUCCCAGGCCCCGCUCAGCGGGUUAAGGGUCCGAUAUUGCUGUGAGCUGUGGUGUAGAGUCACAGAUGUAGCUUGGAUCCUGCAUUGCUGUGGCUGUGGUGUAGGCCAACAGCUGCAGCUCCAAUUUCACCCCUAGCCUGGGAACUUCCAUAUGCCACAUGUG